AUUGAACGCUGGCGGCAGGCCUAACACAUGCAAGUCGAGCGGAGCGGCGGACGGGUGCGUAAUGCCUAGGAAUCGGCAUGGUAGUGGGGGAUGGCGUCCGGAAACGGGAGCUAAUACCGCAUACUAUCAGAUGAGCCUAGGUCGGAUUAGCUUGUUGGUGGGGUAAGGGCAUACCAAGGCGACGAUCCGUAACUGGUCUGAGAGGAUGAUCAGUCACACUGGAACUGAGACACGGUCCAGACUCCUACGGGAGGCAGCAGUGGGGAAUAUUGGACAAUGGGCGAAAGCCUGAUCCAGCCAUGCCGCGUGUGUGAAGAAGGUCUUCGGAUUGUAAAGUACUUUAAGUUGGGAGGCGUUACCAACAGAAUAAGCACCGGCUAACUUCGUGCCAGCAGCCGCGGUAAUAC
rnacentral:rRNA from 1 species